rnacentral:lncRNA from 1 species
CCACAUCGAAAACAAACUUGGCUCGCACGAUUUCUCCAAGAUCUACAUAUCAUGCGGUAAGAGACUUAUCUUUUGUUUAGAUGCAAGGUAAUGAAAAUAUGGAGUACAGAAUUCAACUGUUGAGUUUUCACAGGUAAAGGACCAUUCCUAACUAUUCCCAUUUCAUUGCAUCAUUCAUCCUGCUCAAGAUGUGGAAUAUAGAUUGCUGAUGUUAUAAGCUAUAUUUUUCCACAUGAAUUAAUAUGCAGAUCUAGGUUGUGAAGGUUGAUUUUCAUAUACUUACAUGUCUUUCACAUUUUACUUCUGUUUGCAACUGCAAAGUUUCAUUUUCCUUGUCUGAACAAAUCAAAUGUUAUAUAUGCUAUUUUUUUCUGCAUGAAUUAAUAUGCAGAUCUAGGUCUGAAAGUUUGCUUUUCGUAUACCUUCAUGUUUUCACGUUCUACUUCAUCUGAACAAAUCCAGGUAAAAAUGUGCAAAUAUCUUUUAAUUCAUGGCCUCAUUCCAGAUGACAAAAUGUUCAAGUGUUAUCUUUAUGCAGUAAUUUUCAUACCUAGAUCUGCUGAGAUGAGGGCCUCUCCUUCGUAGUUGGGACCAGCCAAGACUGCGCCUGAUGGUGAAACGAUGACGCUUCCUCCAGCACACACAACAGAAUCCAUCGAUGGUUCUUCCUCUGCACCUGCAAAGACAUAGUCAGGUGGUGGAGGAUAGUCCUUUCUCCUGCAAAACUGGUUUGC